GUUUACUCUGCGGGUUAGGGUAGGUUUACUCUGUGAGUUAGAGCAGGUUUACUCUGUGGCUUAGGGUAGGUUUACUCUGUGGGUUAGAGCAGGUUUACUCUGUGGGGCAGGGUAGGUUUACUCUGUGGGUUAGGGUAGGUUUACUCUGUGGCUUAGGGUAGGUUUACUCUGUGUGUUAGGAUAGGUUUACU